CCUACGGGAGGCAGCAGUGAGGAAUAUUGGUCAAUGGGCGCAAGCCUGAACCAGCCAAGUCGCGUGAGGGAUGACGGUCCUAUGGAUUGUAAACCUCUUUUGUCGGGGAGCAAGGCCCGCCACGUGUGGCGGGAAGGAGAGUACCCGAAGAAAAAGCAUCGGUUAAAGCCGUGCCAGCAGCCGCGGUAAUACGGAGGAUGCGAGCGUUAUCCGGAUUUCUUGGGUUUAAAGGGUGAGUAGGCGGAAGGUUAAGUCAGUGGGCAAAUGUCGGUGCUAAACAACGGCCUGCUGUUGAAACUGGUCUUCUUGAGUGAGCGAGAAGUAUGCGGAAUGCGUGGUGUAGCGGUGAAAUGCAUAGAUAUCACGCAGAACUCCGAUUGCGAAGGCAGCAUACCGGCGCUCAACUGACGCUGAGGCACGAAAGCGUGGGGAUCGAACAGGAUUAGAUACCCUAGUAGUC
rnacentral:rRNA from 1 species